rnacentral:rRNA from 1 species
GGAUGCGAUCAUACCAGCACUCAAGCACCGGAUCCCAUCAGAACUUCGAAGUUAACCGUGCUUGGGUGAGAGUAGUACUAGGAUGGGUAACAUCAUGGGAAGUCUUCGUGUGUGGUGCUCA